UUGUGUUGUCUUUUUCUGAUUUUGGUAUCAGGGUGAUGGUGCCUCGUAAAAUGAGUUUGGAAGUGUUCCUUCCUCUGCAACUUUUUGAAAGAGUUUUAGAAGGAUAGGUAUUAGCUCUUCUCUAAAUGUUUGAUAGAAUUCUCCUGUGAAGCCAUCUGGUCCUGGGCUUUUGUUUUUUGUGAGAUUUUUGAUCACAGCUUUAAUUUCAGUGCUUGUAAUUGGGUUGUUCAUAAUUUCUGUUUCUUCCUGGUUCAGUCUUGGAAGAUUGAACUUUUCUAAGAAUCUGUCCACUUCUUCCAGAUUCACACUAUGCUAGUUGAGAAUGCUUGCUUCUGAUGGGAUGCCCAUUCCUUCAUCCCUUCUGAGAUUAUUUUGGAAGACAGUGCUCCAUGGGAACGUUCAAGCUUCUGCACAGUCUGGGCUUCCCAACUGUCACUCCGGGUUAAAGAAUGGCUGAAUGAGGGCUUCUCUGGCGGCUUGUUGGUAAAGAAUCUGCCCACCAAUGCAGGAGACAUGGGUUCCAUCCCUGGUCCAGGAAGAUCCCACAUGCCAUACAGCAACUAAGCCUGGGCACCGCAACUAUUGAGCUUGUGCUCUAGAACCUGCAAGCUGCAACUGCUGAAAACCGUGUACCCUAGAGCCUGUGCCACACAACAAGAGAAGCCACCACAGUGAGAAGCCUCCUCACCGCAACUACAGAGAAGCCUUU
ensembl:lncRNA